rnacentral:lncRNA from 1 species
AGCCUUUGGAUUCUGAGUGCAUCUGACUCGACCAGACAGGUCUGGGGAAGAGAAAAAUUAACAGCAGAUGGAUUUAUGAAAAGAGGUUCCUUUGUUGGAGAGCAUGUUGCUGUGACAGUGAUAUCUGUAGAUGAUUUGUGAAGGAGUGCAGAGUCAUGGUCUUACUACUAAAAUCCACUAAAACAUCCCAUUCCCUUCUUCAGUAGUAGACACCUUCUCAUGUCAUGGAACAGAGCCACGAUACUUGGAGCAGGUAGGAGCAACUCCUUUAGGACAAGAUGAAUUGAGCACUGCAGUAGGUAAAGGAUGCUCCUCACCACGAGGAAAUAAUCCCCCAAGCAUACAUUAAUAAAAAAACUGAUGUAUGUAAAAAGAUUUUGCCCCUUUUUCAUAAUACUUGAGUAUUGCCUUGCUCCUUCUUAAUUUGAAGACAUUGAUAAUCACUGUAAAGUUUCAUGAUUAUUUUUAAUCUUGAUUCGUAGGUUAAUGAGAUCCUGUGGCAAUAAAUUUCACUAGUUAGUAGUGUUAAAUAAGGAGGGAUAUGAAAGAU